UGUAAAUGUAAAAUUUUUAAACCAGGGUAGUAAUAGUUAAGUUCUUGAAACCCAAAGAAUUUGGCGGUAUUUUAGUCCUUUCAGAGGAAUCUGUCCCAUAAUCGACAGCCCACGAGAGAAUUUACUUAUUCUUGUAUUUCAGUUUGUAUACCUCCGUCAUAAGAAGAUCUUUUUAGAGAUGAAAUUUUCUUGAUAUAUGAAUUAUAAAAUGUCAGGUCAAGGUGCAAUUUAUGAAUAAGAGGAGAUGGAUUACAAUAAAUUUAUUUAUACGGAUUGAAUUAUUUGAUUUUUUUAUGAAGGUGGAUUUGAUAGUAAUUUUGAUUAUUUGUUAUUAUGAUUUUGGCUCUAAAAUAUGC
rnacentral:rRNA from 2 species